rnacentral:misc_RNA from 1 species
CAGAGCUUACAACUCACCAAACCAUUGUGAACCCUGCCUACCGUUGCUUCGGCGGGAGCCCCCCCGUGUCCGCCGUAACAGGCGGCCGAGGGGCGCCCCUAGACCCCCUGCGGGUGCCCGCCGAAGGAGUCCGAAACCCAGUCAGCACAUGGCCUCUCUGAGUAUGUUGCCGAAUAAGCAA